rnacentral:rRNA from 1 species
UACGUAGGGGGCAAGCGUUGUCCGGAAUUAUUGGGCGUAAAGAGCGUGUAGGCGGUUCGGUAAGUCUGUCGUGAAAUCCUGAGGCUCAACCUCGGACGUGCGAUGGAUACUGCCGGGCUAGAGGAUGGUAGAGGCGAGUGGAAUUCCCGGUGUAGCGGUGAAAUGCGCAGAUAUCGGGAGGAACACCAGUAGCGAAGGCGGCUCGCUGGGCCAUUCCUGACGCUGAGACGCGAAAGCUAGGGGAGCGAACAGG